GGAGUUCUCCCACUCUCUGGCACCUGUUCACAGCUCUUCUGGCCAUCCUCUGUCUCUCACGGUGCUCAAGGAAUGUUUGACGAAUCAACAGACAUUAUAGAGGUUUGGACUCUGGAAUCCGAUAGACAUGGGCAUGAAUCCCAGCUCUACCUUGUCCUUUCAGUAUGUCCUGGGUCCUGGAACACGGUUGCUGAAUGAUGAGACCCAUUGCACACAAUGCUUGACUCUCGGUUUACUAAAGAAGAACUUACGAAUCUCCUGACUGAGGUCUAAGGCAGAGACCCUCAGGCUGUCUGUGAGAAGAGGAGGAAGGAGAUGAGCUUACCAGGGAAUAAUUGAGUGUGCAACUGGGACAGUCACUCUGUCUGAAUUGGUCUUCAUGAUAGAGGACACUGUCGCUUUCCACCUAUAGCAUUGUACCUCUCUCCGCCUGCCUCUAGUCUCCACCUCCUUGAUGGAGCUUGGAGCAAUCUUCCCCAAUAUCACCAUGUCUUUAGUUCAUUCAUUAAUCAAGUCAACAAAUGUUAACCAAACAUCAACUAAGCAUAAGCACUGGAGAUAGAGCAAAGAAUAAAACAGACAAAAAUGCCGUGCUCUCAGGGCGUGGACAUUUUAGCCGGGCUACCUCAUGUGCGUGGCUGUGGGUGUUUCUCUGGGGUCCAUCACUAGAGGUAGAACUGCUGGCUUGGACUUGGCAUUGCCGAAUUGCUCUGCAAAGCAGUUGAACUAAUGUAUACUCCCACCAACAGUGGAUAAAAAAAAAAAAAGAUUUCUGGGGCACCUGGGUGGCUCAGUCUGGUAAGCAGUUAAGCGCCUGCCUUCAGCUCAGGUCAUGAUCCCAGGACCCUGGGAUUGCCCCAC